UCAAGGGGAAAGGAAUCAAACCUUCAUCACCAACUCCCAAAGCUGGCAUUUUCACUAAA
rnacentral:tRNA from 2 species